UGGCUCUGGCAUCGAUGAAGAACGCAGCGAAACGCGAUACGUAAUGUGAAUUGCAGAAUUCCAGUGAAUCAUCGAAUCUUUGAACGCACAUUGCGCCCGCCAGCACUCUGGCGGGCAUGCCUGUUCGAGCGUCAUUUCAACCCCUCAAGCUCCGCUUGGUGCUGGGGAUCGGCAGCCCCGCCGUCCCCCAAACGCAGUGGCGGUCACGCUGCAGCCUCCCACGCGUAGUAGCACACCUCGCGGCGGAGAGCGGCGCGGCCAUGCCGUAAAACCCCCGACUGUUAUAUGGUUGACCUCGAAUCAGGUAGGACUACCCGCUGA
rnacentral:misc_RNA from 1 species